ACGCUGUAAGUCAUCUUCAAUAGUAUCUUCUCUUUAGGUUCACAUUGGAGAACUGUUGAAAAGCCUAUACGAAGGGAACUGUUAUGAAAGAUGUAGGAGCGCCUACCAAACAAACCCAGACAGCUUGAUGGUGUACGGAUGUAUUUGUUCACAGUAUAAGUUUGUUGGAAUGUCUUCAAGUACUA
rnacentral:sRNA from 1 species